AGAGGAGUUAGUGUUUUGGAAAUCGCCAAAGAGCUCCGGUUUUGAUUAGGAAUACUCUUUUCCUAGCAGCAUCUCUUCCCCCAAAAGGCACGUUGGUCUGUCAAACGCAAAAUAAAGCAGGUCUCGCAAAUUGGAGUUUGUGAGUAAGCCGGUUACACGGUGCAGAGAAUGCGAGUGCUCGUAUACGUCGUGGCUGGGCCCCAGGCUGAAAUUCGCGAGGCGCUGGAGACUCAACUAUCGAAUUCGGUAAAACCCAGGCGGCCCCUAUAUCCCUCCCAGGCAGAGGAGAAGCUGGACGUUUGGGAUUUGCCAUGAUUGGGCAUCUUACAAUGAUUCCAUGGAACAGUGAUUGGUCUUCCUCUGAAGUGCAUAUACUUUCCAAAAAUGUGAAAGCAGGAAACGAUGACUCCAAGGUCCUGGGGAAAGUGGAGCCACGAGGUGGAAGGAUCCUCAUUUCAGAAUCACCAUGGAGAGCCACUUGCCAACCUAGAACAUUCCUAUAGGACUAAUGCAUGAAGCGGCAAUUCAGAGGAAUUCUGGGAAUUCAUGGGAUCCACAAGGAAGGAGCCUCUGGGGAAUUUUGGUCAUGCUGCCGGGGUAGAGCUCCUUACGAGCAUGAUGUGAGCUGGGUAUCUGCCUGUACCCCUACCAGGUAGUGAGCACCUAGAGAGAAGGAAUGCCUCAGAGUGUUAACCUACGUCCUCCUAGAGUCUAACAUCACACCUGCAAUAGAUUGACUCAUGCACCCCAAUUAGACAUGUGCUUAAUCUUAACCCAUGUGCCUAUAGGUGUGAACCCAUUGUAAAUAGGACCUUUAAAAAAGAUGUUGUUUUUAGUUAAGGUAUGGCCAACUGAAGCACAGUGGGCUUUAAUCUGGAUUACUUGGAGGCCUUAUAAAAAGAAGAAACCAAAAGCCAAGUUAAGAGAAGGCUACUGGGAGAAGCAAGAAGUCAGUGGGAACCCAGAAUAGAAAGGAGAGGGGACAUGGCUGUGUGUCAGGAAGCAGAAAG